AUGCCUGCAGCGCAAUGGGUGGCACGUUAGACUUCUAAUCCAAGUGUCGUGGGUUCGAAUCCCACCUGGCAUG